rnacentral:rRNA from 1 species
AUUGAACGCUGGCGGCAGGCCUAACACAUGCAAGUCGAACGAGUGGCGGACGGGUGAGUAAUGUCUGGGAAACUGCCCGAUGGAGGGGGUUAACUACUGGAAACGGUAGCUAAUACCGCAUACCUUCGGAUGUGCCCAGCUGGGAUUAGCUAGUAGGUGGGGUAACGGCUCACCUAGGUGACGAUCCCUAGCUGGUCUGAGAGGAUGACCAGACACACUAGGACGAAGACACGGUCCAGAUUCCUGCGGAAGGCAGAAGUGGGGAAUAUUGCGCAAUGGGGGCAACCCUGACGCAGCCAUGCCGCGUGAAUGAAGAAGGCCUUCGGGUUAUAAAGUUCUUUCGGUAGCGAGGCGUUAACUACAGAAGAAACACCGGCUAACUCCGUGCCGGCAGACGCGGUAAUUC